rnacentral:rRNA from 1 species
CCUACGGGAGGCAGCAGUGGGGAAUAUUGCACAAUGGGGGAAACCCUGAUGCAGCAACGCCGCGUGAGUGAUGAAGGCCUUCGGGUUGUAAAGCUCGGUCUUUUGGGACGAUAAUGACGGUACCCAAGGAGGAAGCCACGGCUAACUACGUGCCAGCAGCCGCGGUAAU